rnacentral:tRNA from 1 species
GUUGAGAUGGCAGAGUCCGGUAAUUGUAUAAAACUUAAACUUUUACAUCCAGAGGUUCAAAUCCUCUUCUCAACA